rnacentral:misc_RNA from 1 species
UUUCGAUAAAAAAAGAAGUUGUUUUUCUAGAGCACACAGAUUAAACGGUGCUAUAUAUUCCACCAGUCCAUUUUAUAAACGAGAGGCACAUGUUUUUAGAUUUUUGUUAGAAAAAGAUAUGUGUUUCCACWKGUGAGAUGUGAAGGGGGGAGUAAGCAUUGCAGAGAGCCGUCACCCUUGUUAUCUUUGCCAGUAUGUAAGGAUAUUCUGGACAAGACUGUUAGUUAUAAGUUGGAGGAAAGCCAAGUUUGUGCUAAAUCACCAUGUUUCUUGUGUCCUAGAUUAUAAGCUUGCCGUAAUAGCCUAAAAAAGCUAAUCAAAAUGCCAUAAAUCAGAUUUCAGUUUGAAUUUGCCUGGUAUUCAAUGUUAUGAAGUUGGAAUCGCUAGUAAUUAGUAUAUGCUUUAACAUAGAAAUUUAAUAAAAUUUUGAUGUUUUUAUUAAUUAUAGUUUAAAUUAGUACUGCAGUAUUUAAAACGAUAAAAUACAUUGGGACCAGGAUGAGUGAACAUCCGACUCAGUU